CGCGUGCCUAAUACAUGCAAGUCGAGCGAACAGAUGAGAAGCUUGCUUCUCUGAUGUUAGCGGCGGACGGGUGAGUAACACGUGGGUAACCUACCUAUAAGACUGGGAUAACUCCGGGAAACCGGGGCUAAUACCGGAUAAUAUAUUGAACCGCAUGGUUCAAUGUUGAAAGACGGUUUCGGCUGUCACUUAUAGAUGGACCCGCGCCGUAUUAGCUAGUUGGUAAGGUAACGGCUUACCAAGGCAACGAUACGUAGCCGACCUGAGAGGGUGAUCGGCCACACUGGAACUGAGACACGGUCCAGACUCCUACGGGAGGCAGCAGUAGGGAAUCUUCCGCAAUGGGCGAAAGCCUGACGGAGCAACGCCGCGUGAGUGAUGAAGGUCUUAGGAUCGUAAAACUCUGUUGUUAGGGAAGAACAAAUUUGUUAGUAACUGAACAAGUCUUGACGGUACCUAACCAGAAAGCCACGGCUAACUACGUGCCAGCAGCCGCGGUAAUACGUAGGUGGCAAGCGUUAUCCGGAAUUAUUGGGCGUAAAGCGCGCGUAGGCGGUUUCUUAAGUCUGAUGUGAAAGCCCACGGCUCAACCGUGGAGGGUCAUUGGAAACUGGGGAACUUGAGUGCAGAAGAGGAGAGUGGAAUUCCAUGUGUAGCGGUGAAAUGCGCAGAGAUAUGGAGGAACACCAGUGGCGAAGGCGGCUCUCUGGUCUGUAACUGACGCUGAUGUGCGAAAGCGUGGGGAUCAAACAGGAUUAGAUACCCUGGUAGUCCACGCCGUAAACGAUGAGUGCUAAGUGUUAGGGGGUUUCCGCCCCUUAGUGCUGCAGCUAACGCAUUAAGCACUCCGCCUGGGGAGUACGACCGCAAGGUUGAAACUCAAAGGAAUUGACGGGGACCCG
rnacentral:rRNA from 2 species